AGAGCGGUUGAAUGGAGAAAAUUGGGACAGUGAUGAAGAAGUCCAUGUUCCAUGGCCACUCAACAAAGCAGGAGGAAGGAAGCAGUCACAAACCAAAUACGUGGCAAGAAUUCUGAGAUUUGGUGAAGACACACGUGAACUGACGCCAUAUUUGAAAGCCGCUCAGGAUGGCAAGGAUGUACCCCUUACUGGUGAUUUGGAAUAUGGCAGAGGCAAGAGAAACAAACAGCCAAAGUCUUGGUCAUCAGACAGUGAGAGCAAGGAUGAAAGUGACGAGGAGACUCUAUCUGACAGACAGCAGAAGAAAAAGAGGAAAGUAAGCCGUACAGCUGUGGGAUAUGAUGCUCGGGCACAAUUGAAGGCCCAACUUGCUGCUCUGGGAAGAACUUCACCGAAAGAUACAUGUACAGAAAUGGAAUCCCUGAAGAAGGAAGUCCUCCAGUUGAGAGAGGAAAACAAAUCCCUUCGAGAUGCAUUGAGGGUUGUUGAAGGACUUCCUGGCCUGCUAAUGAAGAUGGACGACUUAUCACGUCAGGCAACAAUACUAUCAGCUCGACGUCCUGCUGUCGCUCUGCAGAUACCGACAACUUCUGCAAUUGGCCAAUCCGUACCAUCAACAUUGGUACAGACUACCGAGAAAUUGUCACAGCCACCGUAUCCUUCAACGCCAACCAGUCACAGAUCUUCGCCAGUGCCAUUCAGGUCACCAACUGUGACACCGACACAGGCCCAUCUACGGCGGGUGUUUGAUUACGAGGUCGAUGAGGAUGGCCAGGUAAGUGUGUUGUGUGUUAUUUUCAGUAAAUGUCACAGCACCAAAUGGUAUUUGGUUUUUUUUAAUAUUAAACU